GGGCCGGUAGCUCAGCCUGGAGGAGCACCUGGCUUUUAAGCACAUGCAUACCAGCAUGCUAAGAAACCAGGGGGUCGCGAGUUCGAAUCUCGUCCGGCCCG
rnacentral:tRNA from 1 species